rnacentral:tRNA from 1 species
CGGAGUGUAGCGCAGUCUGGUAGCGCAUUCGGUUUGGGACCGAAGGGUCGGGAGUUCGAAUCUCUCCACUCCGA